GCCAUUGUAGCUCAGGGGUAGAGCACUUCCUUGGUAAGGAAGAGGUCAUGAGUUCAAUUCUCAUCAAUGGCUCAA
rnacentral:tRNA from 1 species